rnacentral:rRNA from 1 species
GUCGACGAACUUCUUUAUCACCGAGUGCUUGCACUCACCGAUAAAGAGUUGAGUGGCGAACGGGUGAGUAACACGUGGGCAACCUGCCCAAAAGAGGGGGAUAACACUUGGAAACAGGUGCUAAUACCGCAUAACCAUAGUUACCGCAUGGUAACUAUGUAAAAGGUAGCUAUGCUACCGCUUUUGGAUGGGCCCGCGGCGCAUUAGCUAGUUGGUGGGGUAAAGGCUUACCAAGGCAAUGAUGCGUAGCCGAACUGAGAGGUUGAUCGGCCACAUUGGGACUGAGACACGGCCCAAACUCCUACGGGAGGCAGCAGUAGGGAAUCUUCCACAAUGGGCGAAAGCCUGAUGGAGCAACGCCGCGUGGGUGAAGAAGGUCUUCGGAUCGUAAAACCCUGUUGUUAGAGAAGAAAGUGCGUGAGAGUAACUGUUCACGUUUCGACGGUAUCUAACCAGAAAGCCACGGCUAACUACGUGCCAGCAGCCGCGGUAAUACGUAGGUGGCAAGCGUUAUCCGGAUUUAUUGGGCGUAAAGGGAACGCAGGCGGUCUUUUAAGUCUGAUGUGAAAGCCUUCGGCUUAACCGGAGUAGUGCAUUGGAAACUGGGAGACUUGAGUGCAGAAGAGGAGAGUGGAACUCCAUGUGUAGCGGUGAAAUGCGUAGAUAUAUGGAAGAACACCAGUGGCGAAAGCGGCUCUCUGGUCUGUAACUGACGCUGAGGUUCGAAAGCGUGGGUAGUAAACAGGAUUAGAUCCCCUGGUAGUCCACGCCGUAAA